rnacentral:rRNA from 1 species
UACGUAGGGUCCGAGCGUUGUCCGGAAUUAUUGGGCGUAAAGAGCUCGUAGGCGGUUUGUUGCGUCGGCUGUGAAAUCCCGAGGCUCAACCUCGGGUCUGCAGUCGAUACGAGCAAACUAGAGUGUUGCAGGGGAGACUGGAAUUCCUGGUGUAGCGGUGAAAUGCGCAGAUAUCAGGAGGAACACCGGUGGCGAAGGCGGGUCUCUGGGCAACAACCGACGCUGAGGAGCGAAAGCGUGGGGAGCGAACAGG